AUACUUACCUGAAUGGGGUCAAUGGGUCAUAAAGAUUCAUGACCUAGACUAGUAACUUCCAUUGCACUCUGGAAGGGUGCUAGUCUAAGAUUUUCUUAAAUAGGAGAGUCUACAUCAUAAUUUGUGGGAGUGGGACCAGCGUUCGCUUGACCCUC
rfam:Lupinus angustifolius cultivar Tanjil chromosome LG07, whole genome shotgun sequence.